rnacentral:rRNA from 1 species
CCCUUAGAUGUUCUGGGCCGCACGCGCGCUACACUGAUGCAUUCAACGAGCCUAUCCUUGACCGACAGGUCCGGGUAAUCUUUGAAUCUGCAUCGUGCCGGGGAUAGAUUAUUGCAAUUAUUAAUCUUCAACGAGGAAUGCCUAGUAGGCGCAAGUCAUCAGCUUGCGUCGAUUACGUCCCUGCCCUUUGUACACACCGCCCGUCGCUCCUACCGAUUGGGUGUGCUGGUGAAAUGUUCGGAUCGGCCGUUUGUCGCGGUUUCCGCGGCUCGUGGCUGAGAAGUUCAUUAAACCCUCCCACCUAGAGGAAGGAGAAGUCGUAACA